rnacentral:rRNA from 1 species
UACGAGGGAUGCAAGCGUUAUCCGGAAUUAUUGGGCGUAAAGCGUUUGUAGGCGGGCGAGUGUGUUUAAUGUUAAAUCUUAAAGCUCAACUUUGAAAUUGCGUUAAAAACUGCUUGUCUUGAGUAUGGUAGGGGUAAAGGGAAUUCCCAGUGUAGCGGUGAAAUGCGUAGAUAUUGGGAAGAACACUAAACAGCGAAGGCACUUUACUAGGCUAAUACUGACGCUGAGAAACGAAAGGUAAGGUAGCGAAACGGAUUAGAUACCCGUGUAGUCUUACCCGUAAACUAUGGACACUAAACGGUAAAUUUUUAAUUUACUGUUAAAGCUAACGCGUUAAGUGUCCCGCCUGGGGAGUAUGCUUGCAAAAGUGAAACUCAAAGGAAUUGACGGGGGCCCGCACAAGCGGUGGAGCAUGUGGUUUAAUUCGACGGUACACGAAGAACCUUACCACGAUUUGACAUGCUAGAUAGUUGCUUGAAAGAGUAACGUGCCGUAAGGAAUCUAGACACAGGUGGUGCAUGGCCGUUGUCAGUUCGCGUUGUGAAAUGUUGGGUUAAGUCCCGCAACGAACGCAACCCUUGUCUUUAGUUAUUUUCUAAAGAGACUGCCUCGUAAUAAACAGGAGGAAGGUAAGGAUGAGGUCAAGUCCUCAUGCCCCUUAUGUCCUGGGCUACACACCUGCUACAAUGGGAAAGACAAUGAGCUGCAAAUCUGUAAAUUUAAGCAAAUCUCCUAAACUUUCUCGUAGUUCGGAUUGUGGGCUGCAACUCUCCCACAUGAAGUUGGAAUCGCUCGUAAUCUCCAGUCAGCUAUAUGGCGGUGAAUUCGCUCCCGGGCCU